rnacentral:lncRNA from 1 species
CUCAUGAAGUGAUGGUUGCUCUGAAAUCUCAAUCUCGUGUGAAUGCAGUGCUUCUUCCCGCAAAACAUAAUCGAUGGCAUCAAGACCCCACUGUUUCUGCUAAAUGCAGCAUACGACUUCAUUCAGGUAAACAUUAAUUUCGCUUUAAUGAGCAGACACCCUAAAUAGCAAAUGUAUUACCGGUGACAUUACUUACCUGCAUUGUUCCGUCAGAUUGUGCUCAGCCUGGCGCCAGACAGAGCUGACCCAAACGGCGCUUGGCGAGCCUGCAAGUCCAACCGCACGGCCUGCAGUGCAUCCCAGAUGAGUUUCCUGCAAGGUUAAACUGGGAAUCCAUUUGGUAAUGCAAGUUCAUCUUCAUCAGGAAAUGACGAUCCGAAUGACUAAAGCAAAUUGGUACACAAGUGCAGAUU